GGAUCUCUUCAUAAAGACUUUUCAGCAAUAUUAGAUUAAAAUUACAAUAGCAUUUUUCUGCAUAUGGAUUUGUGCAUACAACAUUGAAGCAACAUUAUAUUCAUAUAAAACGUAAGGCAUGAUGUUAUUAGAACUCUGUUGGUCUAUACAGUCACAAUUUUUAUAGCAGCACACUUCUGUUGUGUAUAUAAUAUGAAGAACAGCAAUGUUAUCGUAAAAUGUUAUUUUAACAUAAAUUUGGGAUGUUUAAAAUAGCAAAACAAUUGUAGAUUAUGCUAGUGUAGUGUAUCUAUAAUCUUAAUUUUAAUAAUUACAGGAGACGAAGGUUUGCAUACAUUUCUUUACUGAAAACUCCAGCAGCACAGAUCAAUCAAAAGUUUAAACCAAUCAAAAACAAACAGUCUUUGAAACGAACAGUCCCAUAAAACUAGGAUAGAAAACUCAGAACCAGAAAUGUAGAAGAAAUCUGAAUGUCCUCGCAAAGGAAAUCCAAACUGUAGCUGAACCGAAAUCCAACCAAAAUAAGAGGGAAAGUCUUCAAACUGAAAAGAACAAAAACAAGUGACAGGCAAGCUUAAUGACUGAGUGCCAAACAAAGUCGUCAUAACAACAUGAUGUUAUAGAACUACAUUAUUAAUGUACAUGACAAUCAAACCUAAACACUAAGAUUACAUAUAGAUGUUAAACAGAAUAGAAAAAAGCAAAAUAACAAAUCCUUUAACAAAACAGUAGAAAUAAGAACAGGGAGGGAGAAAAAAAGGGGGGGAAAUAUUUGCCUCCUGUUAUUACUAAAAUUAAUAUUAUAUGUACACUACGUUAGCAUGAUCUACAAAUUUACCACAUGACAGGAGGCUUCAUAUUUGCAUUUUUACCGGUAAGGAAGUAGUGCAAAAGAAGCGUGAGAAGAAGCCUAAAAAUAGAAAACCCGAAAGGUAUCUUCACAAUAUCAAUCCGCAGAACUCGUGAUGUCCGCGAGGGAGGCACCUGCCAAAAAUCUUGCGACUCCCCCGCAGCAAGGAAUGCACACCAAAAGGAAGAGUCGAUCCCGGCCAGCGGAAGAAAACAACAAACCCAUCUCGCUAGAGUCAUCGAAGAGACAGGGUUGUAAGGUUGCACAUAUGAAAUGAGAGUUGGUGUAAGGAGUGCAAAGAAUUGUCCAGCCAGUCCCAGAGGAAGCAGAGGACCCACGUCAACGUCAAGUAUUUCAGGAGCGGGAGGGGCGGGUUAGACAAAGACCUCUCAUGAGACAACAGACCAUUGGUCAUCCUUGUAACUAAACUUGCACUGCUGAAAUGACUGAACGCAAAACGUUAACGGAGCUGUAUGACUGACCUCACGAGAAAAAGUGAUCAAGUAGGUGGGGCUGUAAAGGCAUCAGAGUAUCUCUCCAGACACCAGCUAGACCAUUUGUUCCAGGAUGCGAGGUAACAUGUUUGCCCACGAAUCUCAUAGUAGAUCCUGUGAUAGUCCUUUGACUGCCCAGAUACCCCUGAAACCACCAGGCCACAAGUUGCAGUUGGUGCUGUAGUAUUAGAGGAUGUGGUUCCCCUUGGGGAUUGGACAGCAACAGUGGAAAGGUCAGUUGAAGUAGGGGGUGUUCAUAGGACAGUUCCAGUAGGAACUAUGCCUGACUCGGCCACAGUGUGGUGUAAUCAGCAGCAGUGAAAUCCUUUGAGUACAGACCUUGUGAACAACUCUCGUCCACAUGGAGAAUGGUGGGACUUGGAGGAAUGCAUCCACUGCUUUGCAUUCCGGGUCUGGAAGCCAACUGAAGAAUCUUAGGAGUUGAUGGUUCAUCUGCGAUGCAAAGAGAUCUAUCAGUAGGGGACCUCUGCACAGAGACAGCAUGUGGAAGAUCAUGUUUUGUAGUCUCCAGUUGCUGGAAUCCCACCAGUGACGGGAGUACCAGUCCACCGUGAGGUUGGAAGUCCAUGCUAGGUAUUGAGUGAUGUUCCAUGAGAGACAAAAGGUGUAAAUGUCCUUGGUCACUUCCAAUAGAGCUUGUGAGCAAGCCCCGCCCGAGAUGUUCUUCAUGCGUAGCAGGAAGCAGCAGUCGGACCUCCGUUUGGCCAGACUGAGGAUGAUGUGUAGAUCUGUCUCUCCAUGUAGCCAUGGUCCACCCGUGGAUGAGUCUGCACAGUGUGCCCCCUAGACCCAUAAACUGGCAUCUGAUUCCACCACAAAUUCCAGUAAUGGAUCAAAUAUGGCUUUCAUAUGGAGAAGCCACCAGUGGAGUUCUGUACGCACCUUGGGGUUGAGAGGUAUCAGCUGAUCGUAGGCAAAGCCUGCACGUGGGUAUCUGGCUUGCAAGGCCCUGUAGUGUAGAGGGCCACGGUAGACAGCUUCAGUGGAGGCGGAGUGGAGACACAUUACCCGUGCAAGAAGAUGAAGAGGGAUGUUAUCCAUCCGUAGAACCUUUCUGAUCUCCUUUCAUGGAUUCAAUAUUUGUACGAAGCUGAGCUAAGUCUGAACAGGAGGCCAGUGAAUUGGCAUGGAAGAUCUCGCCAGCAGAAGCAAAGGAAUUUCCUGCAAGAAGGUGCCACCAGAACCGAAACUUAUGCGUCCUUUAGUUCUGGUCAAGUACACCAAAUAAACCAAAAUCGUCCUAAAGGAGCAGGUCACGAAGUUGGUAAAUACCUUCCAUUUUGAAAUGGCACUAGACCUCAAAAGCGUUGAGUUGAUGGAGGUUGAUGACUGGACGGAAAUCUCCUGUUUUCUUCCGCAGCAGAAAUAUAUUUCUGGAGAAACCUCCCCCUGUCGUGUGUGUAUUGUACUGCGCCUUUGGAAAAGCGCGCCUACAUUUCCUCGUCUAUAAGGAUCCUGUGGUUGUGGUUGAUGCAGGACUCCAAUGGCACAGUAAAUCGGUGUAUAAAAUAAAUAUAAAGGUAUAAAAUCAGUCUUACUCACACUUUUCAGAGCUCUGAUCCUAGCUCUGAAAAGUGUGAGUAAGACUGAUUUUAUACCUUUAUAUUUAUUUUAUACACCGAUUUACUGUGCCAUUGGAGUCCUGUUUUUAUUUUUCUCUCCACAUAUGCUGAAUUCUCAACAUUUGAAGAUACGAUCCCACCUACACCCUAAAGAAUAUUCCUUUACAAGUGGGACCUACCCUCACGGACUGUGAUAAGCCUAUUUUAUUGGACUAUUGUUUUAUUACUUAUUUUAUUCUGUAUUUUAUCUGACUAAUUUAGUCUUUUAUUUUAUCAAGUUUUAGGCGCAUCCUUAUAUCUAUGUUUGUUCUAGCCGGUGAAGAAUAGCUGAAGUAGACAGAUUAGGCCUUGGGCCGGUAGCUCAGAAUCGGCUGGUGGCACGGCUUCUCUGUCGACCAGCCCAUUGAAAAACACCCCCUGUUGGAGUGGAUCUGAAGACUUGUCUCAGGGAUGUCUGUGCUUUGUUGAGUGUCGUGAAUAGCGAGACAUGGUUCCUAAGCUUCGAGAUAAAUGGCUCACCAAAUAUGACUCAGCCUUUGGCUGAAGAACCCAAUUCUUUAUCAGCCAUGUUCAUGAGCUUAGUGUCAAUUCUUAGUAGAGCUGCUCUACGUCUCUCAGUGCAGAGAGCAUCAUUCGUGUUUCCUAGAAUGCAGAUGCGACAUUGAGCCCAUUCUCGCACAGCAUGUGGAUCCAAUUGGGUGCCCUGAAAGAGAGAGGGGCCUAGAUUAUCAAGUAGCUUAUCUUGAGUUGUCUUCAAUCCUUUAUCUGUCAAGCAAUCAAGGGUGAGGACAUUCCAGCCAUAGUAGAGCCCUGACUUCCCGUUCCAGUGGCUUGCUAAUCCAAAAAUGUCUAAAUUUCGCUAGGUGAUUAGGAAGCCUCCAUUCUGAGGACAUCUGGCAUCGGAUGGUCUUAGGGUCAAAUAAUGUGUAUCCAGGAACAGGUCGUCCUCUUGGUGUGGAGAGUGUUCGUGUGAAUUGUCAACACGAAGAGCACAAGGUUUCGCCUACAAAGGACUCCCGAACAUAUUUGAAAUCUGGAGUAGGAAGAUCUUGCCUGUCCUCAUCACCUUGCGACAUGGAAUCAUUCACUCUCCAUUCGUCCAGAAUGUCCAACGCAUUAGAAGGGUAAUCGUCAUCCUCCUCUGAGGAAGAGGUGGUGCGUUUGGAAGAGGUGGUGCGUUUAACCAGCUCUUUGCCCAUCUGGUCUGGAGUACCCUGAGCUGCCUUUCCUAAGGCACUUGGUAAGGGGUGGAAAGUUCUUAGUGGACAUCUCUGAACACAAUGCUUUCUCAUCUCGGGGCGGGGACAUGCCCGCAGAUUGAACACCUCGGGAGAAGGUUGGGUUAGCCUUUUGGAGAGAGCUUUCUCUACUGAAGCUGACACUAUAGCAUUAAUUGUGGACUGAAAGUCCUGGGUUUGUGGUGGUGAGUCAGUUAUAGUGAAGCGUGGCUAUUCCUGUGGGAGAGAGGACAUACGCUAGUCUCCGGUCAAGGCGAGAUUCCAGCCUGCCGGGCAUUCCUCUUGGAGUACAAUCAGGGUUAGCCCUUAGAUAAAUCCUACACCCAACCGCAGAUACCUCUCAGAAUAAUGUGAGGGUUCACCCAUCACUGACGCUCAUAAUGAAGGGCUAAAUUGUCAGGGACAGACACCAUGAAGUAGGCGGAGGCGCUGACAGCCUCCAGAAUGCAAGGAACAAUCCUUGAACCCCUUUCGGCGGGGUAGGUACCAUAUAGUCGGAUCUCUGUGUAAUAAUCCCAAAAGGGUUAAGGUACCAUAGUAAUGCCCUUAAUAUGUUUGUCAAAUGAGGCUCAUCCUAAUUGUACUGCAGGGGUUCAACCCAGUGUGCAAUGAGAUCUGUGGUCUGCACCAACAGGCAAGUAGACAUUUAUUAUACAUAUGCAUAUAUAUACCAUGUGGAUAGUAGAUUAGGCAGUGAUAUAUUUUUAAUAGUAUUGAAGUUUGAGCAGGUUAGGCAGAGGUCCACUUUAAACAUAACCGCAAUAGAGGUUUCAGAGAAGCAGGUACUAAAUCCCUUACUUGUAUACAAUAGCACAGUCCUGAACUGAACAUUCCAGCAGGAGGUUGUUCUGCGAGGCAGGCAAUGCGGUUUCUCUGUGGCUUCAGUGAUAGAGGGCGAUGAUCCCAGCAAGAUAAGUAUGUUCCAGGGUCCAAUAUCGCUAGUGUGUGCGCCAGAUGGCCUGCAACAACAAACCAAAAUGGCCACCGUGAAUCUUGCAUGUUAAGAAAUCCAAAAUGGCCGCCACAUGCGAAGACCCAGAAAUAACUCCUAAGGGUCCGGGGGAGCAGCAGUAUGCAGCAGAAAGGAGUCUCAGCUACCCACCACACCCCAAACUUGGUCCAGAAAACCCCAAACACAAACUGCAAACCGGUAAAGAGCCCAGUUAGCGCACCAAUAAAGCAGGCCACGGCGUGAGCAUCAGACAGAAGGGGUAUAGAGUGUGUUAAAGGAAGCCUUUAGUUUUCUUAGACAGUAAGAAAAGUGGGGAAUAAAGUACAGAAAAUAACUACAGACCAGGAUAGGGAAAGGGAUGUAGCAAUGAUCAGUGUAAGAGUAAACAGAGAAGUAAAAAAAUCACAUCAUCAUGAAAAACACAAUGUAGAUGUAAGAGAGCCAAUACUCUGACCUGUGCCCAACAGAAGCAGCAAAGAAAGAGGAGGAGUCAAGGCUAUAUAUAGUUCAAGGCUGUUUAUUUUUUAUUGGUUUAAACUUUUUAUUGAUCUGUGUUGCUGGAGUUUUUAGUAAAGAAAGUUAUGCAAAAAUUAUAUUAAAAGAAAAAACAGCAAGAGAAAUUAUACCCAUACUUUUGGGUAUAAUUUCUCUUAAAUGACUUUUCAGCAGUUAAAUGGAUAAUGUGUACACUUCCUCCCCAUCUCUUUACUAAUCGUCGACAUCAAAUUAUUAGCCAUUUGGAAUUGAGACAAUCCCGUCCCAUCUCUUUACUAAACGUCGACAUCAAAUUAUUCACUAAAUUACUAGCGAACCGUGUCCGGCCUUUUCUCCCAAAGCUAAUCCAUCCAGAUCAAGCAGGUUUUAUUUCCUCUCGACAAGCAUGCAAUAUCACGAUGCAAAUAUUCGACUUGAUCUCUACAAGCAACCAUAGGAAAAUCUUCACACUAUUCCUCUCCCUCAAAGCCGAAAAAGCAUUUGAUUGCAUACUGUGGCCCCUCCUAUUCGCUACACUUUCCAAAUUAGAUUCUGGGAAAUCCAUUCUUACAGCUAUACAAGGAUUAUACCCUUAACCAACGGCAAACCUACUGAUUCCAAAUGUCCACACCCACAUUUUCAGUAUUCAAUGGCACACGCCAUGGAUGCCCCCUUUCUCCACUUCUAUUCGCCCUAUCCGUGGAACCACUCCUCCAAAAGAUAUGAGCAGACAAAAACAUGCAUCAAAAUCGGCAACGACGAAUGCAAAUUAGCUGCGUAUUCUGAUGACCUCCUCCUGAUAAUUAUCGAACCCACGCUCUCACUUCCCCUGCUCCUGGCUCUACUAGCUCAAUAUACUGACAAAUCUGGGUACAAACUUAAAGGGACACUGCAGGCACCCAGACCACUUCUGCCCAUUGGAGUGGUCUGGGUGCCAACUCCCACUACCCUUAACCCUGCAAGUGUAAUUAUUGCAGUUUUUUAUAAAUUGCAAUAAUUACCUUGCAGGGUUAACUCCUCCUCUAGUGACUGUCUGCUAGACAGCCACUAGAGGGCACUUCCGUAUCUAUACAGGUUUUCUGUGAUAGAGCGUCGCUGGACGUCCUCACGCUGUGUGAGGACCUCCAGCGUCACUCAAUUCCCCAUAGGAAAGCAUUGAAAAGCAUUUCCAAUGCUUUCCUAUGCAGAGCUCUAAUGCACGUGCGCGGCAAUUGCCGCGCAUGCGCAUUAGGUCUCCCUGGCCGGCCGGCGGCAUCAGUCUCGCCCACCGGCUGACGUAAGGAAGGGGAGGAGCGGUGGCGACCUGAAACCACCGCCGAGGGUUUUCACCCCUUCAGCAAUCGGGGAUGGGGGGUUGAAGGGAGAGGGGACCUGCAGUGCCAGGAAAACAGAUUGGCACUGGAGUGUCCCUUUAACCUGGACAAAACAGAAGCAAUGCUCAUUCAUAUUCCGCCUCAGACAAUCUACGCUUUAAAACAAAGCACCCCUUUCACUUUGAAGACCAAAAACUUCACUAUCUAGGCAUCUACCAGCAGAUUUACACAGGACGUACCAAAUGAACUAGUCCUCGAAGCAGCACACAAAGACCUACAAACCUGGCAAAACGUAUCUAUCUCCUGGAUAGGUAGACUGGCCGCAGUAAAAAUUAACCAGCUCCCCCACUUCCUUUAUCUUUUCCAGGCUCUCCCUGUCCCCAUUUCAAGACGCUCCAAACACAGAUAGAUAAGUUUGUUUGGGCUGGGGAAAAAGCCAGAAUAAAGAGACUCAUGAUGUAUGCCCCACAUAAAGCUAGGGGCCUGGGAUUACCAAACCUUCUAUCAGGCAGCCCAAAUGGGCCAAAUCCCAAACCUUCAAGCCCCAGCAGGACUAAAAAUAUGGGUCGACCUGGAACACAACAUAUUCGGCAGGGAUUUCCCCUCCCUUUACAUCUGGCUCCCAAAACAGGACAGACCAUGGAUACAAUCCAUGACACCGGCAGUGACUAACUUCAUACAGGUAUGGGACUAAGGCAUCAGUAAACAUGACAUUGUAAUUAGACCCUAAUCCCUAUCGCCAGUACUAAGAAAUAAUAAAUUUUCUCCGGGCAUGACUCCACAACACUUUCGACAAUUUGAAGAAAAUGUCCUCCUCAGAGUUUAUCAGUUCUUCCACAACCAACAAAUCCUCCAAUUCCGAGACCGGCCCCAGAUCACGCCAUUCACCACAUUUGACUACUUUAGAUACCUCCAUAUCAGCAGCUUCCUGACAAAUGCACGAAACAAACCGGUGGCCAUCUCCAAACUCACCGCUUUUGAAAAAACAUGCAUACAGACCCCAAUUCAAAACGGACAAAUAUACUCAAACUAUAACCUUUUGCACCACACCACUUCUCCACAGGCAUUGUUGUACGUGUCACCUUGGGAGAGGGACUUGGGCAUGCCAGAGGACCCCUCGGACUGGCAUGAAAUCUUGGAGGCCACGGCAUCAGAAUCUAUAUGUGUCAAGCACAAGGAGCAGGCAUAUAAGACCUUGUUUCAGUGGUACCUAACACCCCUUAUACAAAAACAGAUGACACGAGACAGAUCGGACCUGUGCUGGAAGGGCUAUGGGAUGACAGGCACCUAUAUCCACCUAUGGUCCUCUGCUCGGUCCUCCUAUGGACCCCUGGACCUGGUUGCUAUCCAAACCAAUCAGCGAUCUCCACAGAGCCCAAAACAAGUUUAUCAAAAAAAUAGCCGUAGCCACUAUAAGAACCAUUGCCAGGCAUUGGGGGAGCACAGACAUCCCCGCUUUAACUGAGGUCCUGGAGAAAAUAGAAGAGACAAAGGAAAUGGACAAACUGUCAGCACUUGUCCAUGAAAACAAAAAAAUUUUACCAUAAAAUCUGGGACCCCUGGACUGGAGGAACCCAGAGUGUACCUUAAGGGAGCAGGACGAGACCUGGACAUCUCCACCCCCUCUCCCAAGUUCUUCUCACACUUAUUUCCCCCUCUCUCCUUUUUUCUUUUUUUCCCCCUCUCUUUACAAACCCCCCAACCUUUCCACCACUACAUCUGUACUGCCAAAGGGUGUCUCUUCGGAGACACAGUAACCACAUACACUGCAUAAAAGCCUUUACAAUACAGACACACAUACACCAACUGAUGGUGAUGGUGUAUCACAGUCAUAGCAUGAUACACUGUUACUAUUAAUAUAUGUGGCAAUGUUAACCCCUGUUAAACCUUGUUAUCAAUUUUUACUAUGUCUGCACACAUUCCUGAUGAUGUACUGGUGUUAUUCCACCCUGAAACUGCUGUAACACUUCACUUUUACUAUUAUUGUAAGUUACUUUCUGUCAUUUUAUCUAUUUAUGAACAAAAUAAAAAUUCCAGAAAUAAAGAAUUAAAAAACAAAACAAAAGGAUAAUGUGUGAAAUGUUAUCACAUUUAAUAAAAUGUUUUGUCACAAAUUGUCAUCUAUUGAUAUAUGUGCUAUUAAAUGCAAUGUGUGUGUAUUUUUUAUAUCUAGUUACUAGUAGUUUUGUGGCAUUUUUAGACCUCCUAAAUGUAUCAUUGAUUGUAUACGGUUGCAUAAAACUUUGAAAGAGGUAUGGGUUACUACUGUACCCCAAUAAACUAGUAACAAACAAGUGACUUCUUGUGUGUUUAAGUUUCUGCUCGCUCGCAUGUAUAAUGUACGCCUGUCGCAGUUAUGUAAGCUGUGUUGCUGAAAAACUAUAAAAGCUGGGAUUUUCUGUUAUUUCGCAGAAGCUCCACCUGUGGAUGGACACAUCGCGCAGGACUGUCCUAAUUUACCUGAAACUCUAGGCUAGGAUUAAAAAAGGGGGUUUUCCUAGCCUAGUUCUACAAUAGAUUAAUCAGUGAUGUAUUUACUUUUAAGCUUCUCCCAAUUAAGACUGACUCCUGGUGCAAGCUUGGAUGUUGAUUUUCUGCAUUAAUCAUUGAUGUAAUGCUAAUCCUUGUAAGUAGAUUCUACUAUAUUAUCCUUUACUUUUGUAAAUAUUCUUUAGCAACACUAUAGAUCUAUUCUUCAAUAAUACUAUUUUAUUAUGUAAUAAAAACAUUCAUUAU